GCUUCAGAACUUCAUUCCUUUUCAUGACUGAGUACACGCCACGCGUGACCUAGCACCUUUAGCUUAUCCAAUCGUCUGCUGUGACGUUCGGGUGGCUUCCACUCCAGCUCUGGUGGAGAACACUGCGAGAAAUUUCCUGUGCAGGUGCUUUCGUGGAAACCUGUUUCAUUCCACUCCGGCAUCUACCCGCGCGUGGAAUUGAUGGAUGGCAGACCUCCAAGUCAGAGUGGAGUAGAGGCUGCAAGAGGACACCCACACUCUGCUCCUGACCAGAGGAAGAACACCCAGUCUUUCUGCAGGGAAUAGGAUGCUUGCGUAUUGAGGCGGAAGGAUUGCAUACUUCUGGGCAACACAGACGGAGUCAGGGUCCACCCUCCCUCCACUGCCGCCUCUGUCCUUUGUGGCGGGCCGGGGUGCUCUGGUGGGAGCUGCGUGCACUAUCUCUUCUGUGUGUUUGGUUUUUAGAAUCACUGCUAUCAUGGCCUCAUAAAAUGAAUAAAAUGCUUCCAUCUUUGAGAA